rnacentral:lncRNA from 1 species
GCUUAGGUCUAAAGCUUCUUCCUUCCUUUAUAGAGACCCAAUUUGCUGCCUUUAUCCUCCAUGAUUUGUUUCCAUAAACAGGCUACCGUACAGAGGUCAACAGCGGGAGUCUGGCAUCCUGAAAUCGGGCACAUGAUUAUCAUUUAAUGUGCUGCGGCUUUUUUAUUUUUUUCUCAUUCGGGGAUAAAAUAAACCUCACUUGGAGAUGCUCACUCGAUGCCUCAGGAACUUUUCAGCCCGAAUGUCAUUGGACCCACCUGUCAUCUGCCUCUGCCUUUUGCUGUCAGGCUAUCCAUGACUUUAAGGUAGGUCACCUUUCUUUGAUAUUCUGCCUCUUUAUAGGUU